rnacentral:rRNA from 1 species
CACCAGGUUGAUUCUGCCUGACGUAGACGCUAUACUCUAAGAUUAACCCAUGCAUGUUUAUUGAAUAUAAAGAAAAGACGAACAGCUCAGUAACUCUUAUUUGAUUUGAUGUAUUAGGAUUCUAACUAUGUUAAAUUAUAGGUAACAAUAAUACAAUAAGAAUAAGAUCUAUCAGUUAGUUGUUAAGGUAAUGGCUUAACAAGACUAUGACGGAUAACGGUAUUACUUUGUAAUAUUCCGGAGAAGGAGCCUGAGAGAUUGCUACUAAGUCUAAGGAUUGCAGCAGGGGCGAAACUUGACCUAUGAUAUUAUAUUGAGGCAGUUAUGAGUAGUAUUUUAUAAUUAUUGUAGUAUUGUAAGUACAUAUUACAAGAUAAAUCGGAGGGCAAAUCGAGUGCCAGCAGCCGCGGUAAUACUUCUUCCGAUAGUGUGUAUGAUGAUUGAUGCAGUUAAAAAGUCUGUCGUUUAUUUAUAAUAAGCAUUGUAAGGUAUACUGUAUGGUUAGGAGAGAGAUGAAAUGUGAUAACCCUAACUGGAUGAACAGAAGCGAAAGCUGUAUACUUAAAUGUAUUAUUAGAACAAGGACGUAAGCUAGAGGAUCGAAGAUGAUUAGAUACCAUUGUAGUUCUAGCAGUAAACUAUGUUGAAUCAUAGAUAUAUUUUAAUAUAUAUUUAUGUAGAGAAAUUAAGAUUAUAUUGACUCUGGGGAUAGUAUGAUCGCAAGAUUGAAAAUUAAAGAAAUUGACGGAAGAAUACCACAAGGAGUGGAUUGUGCGGCUUAAUUUGACUCAACGCGGGGUAAUUUACCAGGUAUAACAUGGUAUAAUAUUUUAUCAUGAUAGUGGUGCAUGGCCGUUUCCAAUGGAUGCUGUGAAGUAAUGAUUAAUUUCAACAAGAUGUGAGACCCUCAUAUAGACAGAUGUAGUGUGAUACAUAUGAAGGAGAGGAUUAAAACAGGUCCGUUAUGCCCUAAGAUAAUCUGGGUUGCACGCGCAAUACAAUAAUAUUUGAUAUUAUAAGGGAUAAUAUAAUGUAAGAUAUAUUUGAACACGGAAUUGCUAGUAAAUUUUAUUUAAUAAGUAGAAUUGAAUGAGUCCCUGUUCUUUGUACACACCGCCCGU